AAACUGAGCCACAGUGAACCUCCCUUCCUUCAGUUCCUGAAGUGUUUUGUCAGGGCAGCGAGAACGGGCACUGACACAGAAGAGGAAAGUCGGGAGCAUGAGCUUGGACUCGUGAGCAAUGGUGCUGGGUCCUGGAUGAAGACGGUUAGAGUGGCCUUGGUCCUGUGCCUGAACGUGGGUGUGGAUCCUCCUGAUGUGGUGAAGACCACACCCUGUGCACGCUUGGAAUGCUGGAUUGAUCCUUUGUCUAUGGGUCCUCAGAAAGCUCUGGAAACCAUUGGUGCGAACUUACAGAAGCAGUAUGAGAACUGGCA